rnacentral:lncRNA from 1 species
AAGACUUCAAGACUCCUAAUUUUGUCUAAGUCAUAGAGUUUGUUUUAGGGGUUUUAAGUUUUGAUGUUGUAAUUUUGAACUUCAUAUUGUAUUUGGAUUAUACGCGAAGGGUUCAAUGUUUUGGUAAUGAUGUUGAAUUUUGUUGUUCAUUUAUGAUGUAAUUUUUGAGUUUUUGAGUUUUGUCACGAAAUUGCCAAAGGGGGAGAUUGUUAAGUAUUAUGUGUUGGCAAGUUUCGUGAAUUGAGUCGGAGUCUUGAAAGAUCGAUGCAUAUUGUUGAAGAUCGAGGAAU